rnacentral:rRNA from 1 species
AACGCCGCGUGAGUGAAGAAGGUGUUCGGAUCGUAAAGCUCUGUUGAUGGGGACGAACGUGCGAGAGGUGAAUAAUCUCUUGUAAUGACGGUACCUAUCGAGGAAGCCACGGCUAACUACGUGCCAGCAGCCGCGGUAAUACGUAGGUGGCGAGCGUUGUCCGGAAUCAUUGGGCGUAAAGGGAGCGCAGGCGGGCAUGUAAGUCUUUCUUAAAAGUUCGGGGGCUCAACCCCGUGAUGGGAAAGAAACUACAUGUCUUGAGUACAGGAGAGGAAAGCGGAAUUCCCAGUGUAGCGGUGAAAUGCGUAGAUAUUGGGAGGAACACCAGUGGCGAAGGCGGCUUUCUGGACUGCAACUGACGCUGAGGCUCGAAAGCCAGGGGAGCGAACGGGAUUAGAUACCCCGGUAGUCCUGGCCGUAAACGAUGGAUACUAGGUGUGGGAGGUAUCGACCCCUACCGUGCCGGAGUUACGCCAUAAGUAUCCGCCUGGGAGUAC